CUCGUCCCAGCUCCAGCCUCCCCCCACCCCCCCACGGCCAGUUUCCAUUGGGGAGGGAGUAGGGGGGGCGGGAGCGAGCUCCAGUGAGAUGCGAACGGCCAAUAGGGGCGCGGAGAGUGGGCCAGGAGGUGGGCGCCGCGGCGGCCGGCCGGAGAAAGCUCAGCCAAUGCGCGCGCGCCCCACAUCCUAGGGCCCGCAGCGCCACCUCUGGCCGCUUUUGUGCCCCGGGUCGCGCCCAGCGCCACGCCCGACUGCCCCGGGCUCUAGCGGAGCGCCCACUAGAGAGACGCGGGUUUGGCGGUCAAGCCGGCGCGGGCGCCAGCGGGGCAGCCAUUGUGUCGUCUCUCGCGCUGCCGACGUGGAGCCCGCCGCGCGUUUUGGAGGGACUCCGAGGCACCCUCAGCGUACUGCUAGGCUUGAUCCGGGUCGGUGAUGGCAGACCCUUCGCUCGGUAGACCCCGGAAUCUCUCUGGGAGACCAGACCCAGAGUGUUAUCAGGCCCCACGGCAGUGAGAGCCAAAUCGUUCCACUUCCCACUGCCUCCAAAACUUAAGGAUGCAUCCGAACUCGCGCGGUGGCGACUUACUGAGCCGUCCGAAAUCCUGCCACUUUGAAUCACUGGAAACACAGUCACGCUGAGGUUGGCGGUCGGUGAGCCAAACUGAGAGCUGAGCUAGCAAGGAACUUGCAUUGACCUGUGAACCCCAACAUCUGGCACCUGAACAGGGUACUCAACAAUGGAGACGUCUACUGUGAAGGGUGACUUGCCUUCACUGUGUCCCUGGGGUGGGACACAACUUGCAACCCAUCUACUUCAUUUUCUUCGGAAAAUUCCCGGGUAAGUCAUGGGGAAUUCCCUGUCCAAAGCACAGCAGAAAGAAGGCAGAACUGCUUUUUCCCCAAAGAAGGUGGUCCCUGGGCUCCCUGAGUGCAAUUUAGUAUGACUUUUGCAAGAAAUUCAUGAUUACUGUCCGUGGUAUCCUGAAGGAGGAACGCUCAUGAUGGAGGAUUGAGAAAAGAUAAGCAAAUUGCUACAUGUGGAGCCUUGAACCCCCAUCUCUGUCCUCACACCUGGCAUCUCUGCCAGGAUGCUAUCACACCCUUUGGCAGGCGAGCAGACGGAACUCCAUAUGGCUGAUGUUCAGAUCCUCCUGGCUGUGUGCUUCUGCUGUCUCUACCUUAAUUGGGUAAGACCCUAUUUUCCCUUGACCACUCAACAGUUAUCUCCUCUCUUUGAUGCUUUACAGGGUCACACAGAUCCUGCUGAUGUGAUCUCUGACUCUCCUUCUCUACAGCAGGCCCUUCAGAGCAUUGCUCACACAUUCACCACAGUUGUGGUGGAUUGAGUCCUGAAGGACUCCUCUCUCCUUACUCAUUUUUCAUCCAGCCCCUUUGCCCACCAGGGCUCUUGUUGCCAUCCAGGACAGCAAGGUAUUUAUUGUUGAGUGGUUACAUUUACCCCACUCACCUGGUAGUACUUUAUUUCCCAUUAUCAACGCUAUUUCUGCUCUUAUCUCUCCAGGACACACCCCUGCACUUACACUCCUUGGAAUUGACCUCACUGAUGUCAUUUUAUCACUUACAAAACUGACUUCUCCUUUCUGCUGUCCUUAACUAUUCCCUUCAAUGCUGACUAUGCUGGUUCCAUUUCUUUCAAAAUGACCCCAGACCCAGGCUAGAGGGAGCCGGUGCACCUGCUGACCUGGGGAGGAGGGGAUACUUCUGUGUUAUCCCGAACAGGCCCUUGUGGAUUCCUGCUCGUUGCAUUUGCCCUGCAGGGAAUAAGUUGGCACCACAGGCUGUGCAACCCAAUUCCACAGUUUCACCCCUCCCUGAAUCAAGCCUGGCCACUUCAAAAGCGACCCAGGAAGACAACUGCUCAGCCAGUGACCUAGGGUGCUGAAAAGGCACUGAUCCAGUCUGCACAAGACUUACUGCAUGCAUCUGAAAAGGGAUCCACUUCUGAAAAGCUUCCUGCGGUGAUAUUUACCAACUUGGCAAUGAAUUCUUUAAUGCUUGUUUGUAUUCUAUUGCUAUGUGUUUUGUAACCCACCAUGGGGACUUUAGAGUCCCAUAACCUCCAAGAAAGAUUGGAAUACAAUAUUUGGGUUCAGUUGGCAAAAAUUGCUAAUGUCUCUGACUUGUAUCUUGCUCAAAAGAAAGAAAUAAAAUACAUUCUCGGGUCCUGUCUGAUUCUGGUGUGCAAGGACCCUGCCCCUCUAAGUAAUUACACCAUUGUCUCCACUAUUCCAAAUGAAAUUGUAACAUAUGCCGACUACCCAAAUCGGGGCCCUCCCACCCUUCAAAAACCUGAUAAUGCUGUUUAAAUGUUCACUCCAUAUGUAGCAACUUCAAAUGCCUCAUGUCUUUGUAUUGAAAAUUGUACCAUACAAUGUCUUUGCCUUCCUAAUAGUACUUGGAAUUGUUCUAGUUAUGAGCCAGUAUUGUAUGGACAUGGACAUGUUCCUCUCCCUGCUGGAUGGUUUUUCUCAUGUGAAGAGUGUGCCUUCAAUUACAUCCCUGCUAACUUAUAACACAAAAUGUUGCCUUAGUCGCCUUACUAUAUUGUUGCCUUCUCCUGAAUUCACACUGUCUCACACCAAACGGUCUACAACUGGUCUCACUGACCUGUGUGGGAACUUUUCUAUUAGCCUGUUAACCAAAACAGAAAUUUAUGCUUUAGGUAUUUCUUUGGUUGGUGUGCCUGCCUGGCAGCCAGGGCUAAUUGCAAUGUUAAUGUACUAGCUUAUCUCAUGGCAAAGCAAAUUAAUUAUGCAUCUACAGCUAUGGCAUUAUCAACAAAGAACAAAGUGAGCACCAACAAGCAAUUUUAGAUAACUGUACUGUAAUUGAUUGUCUACUUCUAUUGCAUCAUUAUGGAUGUAAUUAAAUUGCUCAAAUGUGCUGUUUUAAUUUGCCUGAUGAAAGUAAAUCCAUCAAGGGGAAACUUCAUGAUUUACAAGAACUUACCAAACAGAUACAUGUGUCUCAAGGUUUCAGUACCGGAUUAUGGAAUUUCCUUACAGGAUGGUUACCAGAUAUCAGUUGGCUAAAACAAAUGUUUCUUUAUGAUGUUACUGUCCUUAAUUGGUAUGGGAUGGCUUGUUCAAUGCAUCCCAUCCCUGUACUAACUGUUCAUACCUAAAAUGCCAGCUUCUAACAUGGUAAGAAAGCCUAAACUAAAUAAAAAAGAAGGGGAAAAAUGUAGAAAGGCCACACCGACUCCAUUUUGUCCCAGACACAUCCGGUUGACAAUGUCAUGGGAAAAGUGCAGGCCUUGAAACAUCGACCCCACCCCAAGGUAAAAGCAUGAGGUCUUGUAAGGUCAAGAAGUAAACAAGUUAUAUAAUUUGAGCAUGCGCAAUUUGAGUUUCUUUGUUCUUUAUCUCAAUAAAAGCUACUUGCUUACGCUGGCCAGGUGGCAGCCACUUUGCUGACCCUUAGUGUGUGCAACCGUUUAUUUUCCCUUUGCUUGCAGAACCCCAACAGUUUUACUUUGUCAAAAAUGGAAAUCAAGUUGACAAUAGCAUCUGCUUUAUGUUUUCCCAUUGACAAUGGUCUUGGAAGAUUAGAAUGGACUCGAAUCUGAUCAAUAAAGAAUAGAGCAAUUCUGUUAAGUAUAGCCUUUUGUAGUUUUGAAAAUAGUUGUAAUAAAGUAGACUCAAUGUUGGAGCAAAUAGAAAGAGAUUCAAUCUUUCGGGUCAGAUAUAUUGUGUAAGAGGAGUCAAUCUAUUAGGGGAUUGGUCUGUAAAUUGUUCUAAAACAUAAGAACAGCCUUUAUUUCUGAGGGCUGUGCUGAAUCCCCCUUCAUAGACAAGGAAUGCUGGGAGGAGCAGCUACAGAUAGCUGCUUUCCCCUUAAAAGAACCCUCUGUAUGGUAGGUAGGUGCCCCGUCAAUGGCUUGAAAUGAGUGACCUUUGGGAGACUAGCAUAAUUGAGAAGGAAGAAUUGUAAAAAGGGUUAGUAGAGUAUAGAUUAUCUGUUGUCCCUAGGAACUGAGAAAAUGCUACCUUCCAGAAAGGGGUAGUUUGUAGCAAUGUCUGUCUCUGUUGAGCGUCUAUUGGUACUACAAUGAUGGCUGGAUCAUGUCCAAAGAGCUGACACGUUCUAUUUCUUCCCAUAGUCACUAUUUUUGCUAUUUAUUUUACAUAUAACUGGAGAGUUUUUACUAGUUGAUUUGGCAAGAAUAGCUAUUCCAUAGGAGAAAGAAUCUUAUUAACCCAUUGUUCUAACAUUCCUAUAGGAGAAUGAGGAGUCUGUAACAAAUAGGUUGAAUAAUAUCAACUCUAAAACAUUGCCUAGAAUGCAGACAUUUUUCAACUAAUUUUGGUUCUUUGACUGCUUCUGUGAGUUUCUGGGGAGAAUUUAAAUCUUUAUCAUCUUGAAGAAUACCAUAUAAAUUUUAUAACUGAUAAGUUGGUAUGCCUAAUUUGGGCCUAAGCAAAUUAAUAUCUCUUAACAGUUUUGGGCAAUCCUUUAAAGUUUGUAGGUUGUCUAUCCUUAUCUGAAUCUUUUGUAGUUUGAUUACCCUCUCAGAAAAAAUAGAGCCCAAAUAACUGUAAAGACUUAACAUUUGUAGUUUUUCAGGUGCUAGUUGAAGGCCAAAAGCAAGUAAAUCUCUCUUGACUUCUUCAAAUAGCAUCAGUAAAUUAGUUUAGAGGACAUAGCAAGUAAGAUUUCAUUCAUAUAGUGGAUAAUAUAAGCUUGAGAGAAUUGAGUUCUGCAUCUUUUCCAAGUUUGUGCUACAAACCUGUUACUAUUUGCCAUUCCCUAUGGAAGCCUAGUCUAUUGAAAAUGUUUGGCUGGUUAGUGAAAAUUAAUGCCUCAUACUGAACAUGCAAAAAAAAAAGGUUGAUCCUGAGAAGAGAGUGGGAUAUUUAAAAAGCAGUCUUUAAGAUCAGUGCCGUGGGAUUACAGUAACACUAUCUAGACCAGAUCAUAAUGCCCUCAUAGGCAACAUGCAAGCAUCUACAGCUCUCCAGCUUUGUAUUAAUCUCCACUUGCCUGAUCUUUUUGGAAUUACAAACACAAGGGUAUUCCAUGGACUAACAGAUGGCUCAAGAUAACCUAUUGUAGCUGUUCUUCUACUAAUGUCAAUAAGAUCUUUAACUUUUCCUGAGUUAGGGGUCAUUGAGGAAUCCAUUUCAGCUCUAUAUUUUCCCAUUGAAUUGGCAGUGCAGAAAUAGGCAGAGAAAUGCCAGUGGCCCUCACUAUAAAUUUGACUCAUAUCCAAUUCUAGAUCCACCUGGUUUUAUUAAAGGCUCAACUGGAAGUUUACAACCCUGUAAGUUCUUGCUCAAACCUUUGUUUUCUCAACAUUCCAUUUUAGCCUUUUCUUGUUAGUGGGAGAUAUGUUCUUCUGAGAGACAGAAAUAAUUAGGACAGUGCCCCACUCUUUCAUAAGGUCUCUUCCUCAUAAAUUAAUGGAAAUGGGUAUGAUAAAUGCUGUUAUGAUACCUGUCUGCCCAUUAGGACCAAUAUAUGGAAGUAGUAUAGCACUGUGAGAUACAGAUUGAGAGGAGCCUAAGCCUAACAGGGUGUGGAGACAGGUCUAAUGAACCAAGCAGAUGGCCAAGAUUGGCUAUUGACUAUAGUGACAUCAGCUUCUGUAUCCUUUAGUCCAGUAAAGGAUUUUCCAUUUAAUUUAAUAGUGUGAGUAGGUCUAUCAGCAGUAAUAUCCUGAAAAAAAUAAAUUUCUCUGCUCAGAUACCUACCUUUAUCAGACUUGUGUGAAGGGUAGAGAGCAGGAGAUGAGCCAAUUGUGGGAUAGAGUAAAAUCUGAGCAAUCAGAUCACCAGGUUCAAUCCCCAUAUGUUGGUGGAACAUAUCACAACUGAUAUUUCUUGAUGACAAUCACUGUUUAAUAUAGUAGCAAUUACAGUAAGUCCUCUAGUAGUUGAGCUUGAUUUUCCAAUAACUAAUCCCGUGGUCCCUUUUGGCAAUGGCCCAUAGAUUCCAGUGGGAAUUAAAACUGGUUUCUCCCCUCCAUCAAUGAAUGUAGGAAGCUGCUGGUAAAUCUAAAUUUGCACCCUGGGUGGCUCCUUGUAGGAGGGAUUUAAUAUCACACUUUGUUCUCAUCCAGACAGAGGAACUAAUGUUUGUUUGGUUUGGACCAGAUGCAACUGGUUCAACAGUGCAUCAGAUAGCAGGAUACCAUUUGAUACCAUCCCCUGAGUUUAUGCCUGGCUCUGAGGAAGGGCUGAUUCUCUGUUUCCCUGGAGCAGGGUUGAAUCAUCCUUAUGAAAUCUAGACCUACAGUCCUUUGCCCAGUGAAAAUCUUUCAUACAACGUGGGCACAGAUUACACGGUGAAUUUGAACCUUGUCUAGUAAUAGUAAGCACAGCUGAGGGAAGUGAUGCCUUUAUAGGUUCUGGCAGAGUUUGUGUGUCCUUGAUUGCCACAAUUAAAACAUUUUAUCACAUCAGCCUUAAGGGCUACAUGUUGGGAUACAGCCUGUGCCAUGAAUGCAGAAGUGUGAAUGGUAGGUCCCAUAUUUGGCAUGUGUGUAUGUAAGUAGGUAAGUCUUUAGUACGAAGCACUGAGGCUAAAGCUCAUUUACAUUCCUUAUUGGCAUUCUCAUAUGCUAACUGACAGGGAAGUAUUCUAGCUGCACUGUCAUGAGAACUCUGUCUACGUAUAGCCUCUUGCAAUCUUGCUACAAACUGGGUGUAAGUUUCUGUAGAAUCUUGGAAUACCUGGGUAAAUGAUUUAUUGGGUGUACCAUCUUCUCAGACAGAAAUCUAUGCUCAGCAUAGUAGUUCUUUGCACUGUGUGAAGAGAAGGGGCAAGGGAUCAUGCUUGAACCUUUAAAUCAGCAUAUCUGCCCAUGCCAGAUAACAUUUCCUGAGUAAUAGCUUGUAAGUUUUUAGCCUUACUAUCUUGAUUAUUCUGAGCUUGUUCUGAAAUGAGUGUCUUUAAAUGUGAUUCACGAUGUAGGAACUGGGUGAGUGAAACGGGUUACACCACCUGUCACCAUUUGGAAGUCUUGAAUUAUGUUAUCUGAGCAACCAAGAGUAUAUUGAUCCUGAACUCCGAUAUCAAUUAUGAUCUGCCUCGAUUCUUUCAACAAAAGUUAAAAGCUGUGUGCAUAUUGUGUCUAUGGGCUGAGUUUCCCAGAUCUGUCUCUGCUAUGAUUGGCAAGCCUAAUGCCUAUGGAUAUAGUGUCAUGUCACUAUACUUUGCUUUCCUUGGAGGAGGGGAAGGAGGAGGGUCCUUUCUGGUCUCAGAUCUUGGUAUGGGAGAGGAGGGUACUGUAGGAAGCAUAGCAACAGAAGUGUUAUUUUCCAAAGAGAUACAGAAAAUGAAUCUGAGCAUGUGGGUAAAUUGGAAAAGUUUCAGAUUGCAUUAAAAAUUUCUUGUAAAAGUGAAUAUAUCUGAUUAUCCAUACUUGUUAAACAUGCUUCGUUUUUCUCUAGCAACCCGUUGGGAAUCAUAUUAUCAUAGUGAUCUGGCUUAUUCAUUAUGCAACUCUUUUCCAUCUUAUUUCCCUCACUUAUAGUCAUUUUGUCUGCAUAGGUACAGUGUAUUGCAGUGGUACCUGGCUGUUGGUCUGCCUUAUUUUCUAGGUUAUGUUGCAAUGAUGAAGCGCCACUUUCACCAAGUUAUAUGUAGCUAUUGUUUUGAAUUGGGUAUUUUUUUAUCUUGGAUUGUAGCUACAUAAAAACUCUCACCUAUUUUAUCCCAAACUCUCAUAUCGAGUGUGCCUGCUUUGGGAGAGGAAGGAUAGAAUUUAGUUAUCUGACAGAGUAAUCUAAUAAUGUGUUUUGAUGGACUUUGAGGUCUGCGUCAUUUAACAGCUUCAUAAUCAAUUGGCUAAGUUCUUUCUCUUCAGCAGAUAAAGAAUACAAUUGCCCCAUAGUUACCUUUUACGAACAGCCUCCAACAACAGAUUUCUGUUUGUUAAUUGUGUCUGAGCUAUAUAAUUAGUAAAAUGCUCCACUUACUUUUAACUUGGUAAUGCAAGAUCCAGUAGAUUGUCAACAUCUUGAUAGUGGUUGGUGUGGCUUGAAGUUCAUGUGUUCUGGUAGUGCUGGGCACCAAAUAUUGGGAACCUGGCCAAGGGUCCUGAUUGUCAAUCUUGAAAAUGUUGUGAGAAAAAUAAAAAACAGAGACAAGUAUUCCAACAACAGCUAGGAAGUAAAUGUCUCUGGCCCUGACUUCCUCCACUCCCCAAACAGCCACUAUUUAUUUGGUCUAUAUAGUGAUAGGCGGGGCUAGCAAGGGAUUACAGUUCAUCCAAAGACUCUGACUCCAGAGGACGUAGAUAAUCUUAUGUUUGAAAUAUUUUGACCUGAGUAUAAUCCUGUGAUGAUUUAAGAAAGCACAGAUAUGAUCUUAUGUUUAGAAAUAUCUCAUCCUUGUGUAUAAUCCUCAAAUGACUUAAGAAUGUGUAGAUGAUCUUAUGCUUGGAAGAGUCAAUGGGAGUCCCAGAUGGGUAUUACAUCAAUCCCAAUCCUUCCUUUCAUCCCACAGGGAAAUACACAAAACCAGACACUGUGAAUUUGUGGUCCCCAACAAUUCUCCCUCAAAAUAGUCUCAUUGCUUCAAACACACUCAUCCUGUAAUUUUUACAAAUUUUUGAAGUGGUCUGGAAAUCCACUUUCAUGUCUUUAUUCACACUGUCAUGACCACCUUGAUGUUUUUAGUUGAUUCAAAACAUUUUCCUCUCACCGUCAUUUUAGCUUUAGGGAAGAGCCAGAAAUCACACAGUCCCAGAUAUGGUGUAUUAGAUAGACAAUGAUGAUGACACACUGUAGUAUUUUUAUGAAUCUCCCUUUCUGUUGGAUGGCACUUGGCAAUAGCAUUCACCAUAUUUUUUUAGCAUAUCUCAUAAGGACACUCACCCAAAACGUUUUCCAGAUUGCUUUAGAAAGUGGCAGGAAAAGGGGCUGGGGAUUUAGCUCAGUGGCAUAAGCGCCUGCCUUGCAAGCAGGCAGUCAUGAGUUCGAUCCCUGGUACCGAUAAAAACGAAAAAGACAAAAAAAAAAAAAAAAAAAGAAAGUGGCAGGAGUGAUGGGAUAAGUGUGUUAGAAGCAAGAGGGAGUAUUUUGAGGGUAAUUAACAGCAAUGUGUCUUUUAUUAUGAUAAAUUUUUUAUUUAAACAUUCUCCAAGUAUUUGAUCACAUCUUAUUUAUCCAUACCUGUAGAUGAUCAUAACAGCACUGUUCACAAUAAUAAAAAAGUUAUAACAAUUCAAAUAUUGGUAAAUGGAUCAACAUAUUAUGAACAGCUACUUUGAAGAAAACAAGACAUUAUGGCAGCCUUGCUGAUUUAAUAUCAUCUUGUUUUGAAGUCCUACCAUGCUUUUGUUCUUCUGUUUCCAUUGGUUCUGUCUUGUGUCUUACUGGAUUUUAUUAUGUGUGAUAGUACAAAAAAAAUUUUAUGGAAAAUGAGAAUAUUUUUUAGCAUAUAAAAUAUUUUUAUGGAAAAUGAGAAGCCAUUGUUCAUUUUCUGUUAUUUGGGUUUGAAUGUCCUGUAACACUUUCAUUCUCUUGAAUAGUUUUAUACUAUUUUGUUACAUUUGACACUAUUGUAUGUGAAGUUAUGCUUAACUAUUUCAAAGAAAAGAGACAUUAUGGUAGCUACUGUUAAUAUCCGGUUGUCUUGUUCUGAAAUGCUGUGUUGCUUGCGUUGUUCUGUUUUGACUUGCUUUGUUCUGUCCUCUUUUAUUUCAUUCUCUUUAAAAUAAAAAAUAUUGGUAAAUGGA